rnacentral:rRNA from 1 species
AUGCACGCUGGCGGCGUGCCUCAUACAUGCAAGUCGAGCGCACAGAUGAGGAGCUUGCUCCUCUGACGUUAGCGGCGGACGGGUGAGUAACACGUGGAUAACCUACCUAUAAGACUGGGAUAACUUCGGGAAACCGGAGCUAAUACCGGAUAAUAUAUUGAACCGCAUGGUUCAAUAGUGAAAGACGGUUUUGCUGUCACUUAUAGCUGGAUCCGCGCCGCAUUAGCUAGUUGGUAAGGUAACGGCUUACCAAGGCAACGAUGCGUAGCCGACCUGAGAGGGUGAUCGGCCACACUGGAACUGAGACACGGUCCAGACUCCUACGGGAGGCAGCAGUAGGGAAUCUUCCGCAAUGGGCGAAAGCCUGACGGAGCAACGCCGCGUGAGUGAUGAAGGUCUUCGGAUCGUAAAACUCUGUUAUUAGGGAAGAACAAAUGUGUAAGUAACUAUGCACGUCUUGACGGUACCUAAUCAGAAAGCCACGGCUAACUACGUG